CCUACGGGUGGCUGCAGUGGGGAAUAUUGGACAAUGGGCGAAAGCCUGAUCCAGCCAUGCCGCGUGUGUGAAGAAGGCCUUCGGGUUGUAAAGCACUUUCAGUGGGGAAGAAAGCCUUGGGGCUAAUACCCUCGAGGAAGGACAUCACCAACAGAAGAAGCACCGGCUAACUCCGUGCCAGCAGCCGCGGUAAUACGGAGGGUGCGAGCGUUAAUCGGAAUUACUGGGCGUAAAGCGCGCGUAGGCGGUCUGAUAAGCCGGUUGUGAAAGCCCCGGGCUCAACCUGGGAACGGCAUCCGGAACUGUCAGGAUAGAGUGCAGGAGAGGAAGGUAGAAUUCCCGGUGUAGCGGUGAAAUGCGUAGAGAUCGGGAGGAAUACCAGUGGCGAAGGCGGCCUUCUGGACUGACACUGACGCUGAGGUGCGAAAGCGUGGGUAGCCAACAGGAUUAGAUACCCGGGUAGUC
rnacentral:rRNA from 1 species